AUUGAACGCUGGCGGCAGGCCUAACACAUGCAAGUCGAGCGGAUGAAGGGAGCUUGCUCCUGGAUUCAGCGGCGGACGGGUGAGUAAUGCCUAGGAAUCUGCCUGGUAGUGGGGGAUAACGUCCGGAAACGGGCGCUAAUACCGCAUACGUCCUGAGGGAGAAAGUGGGGGAUCUUCGGACCUCACGCUAUCAGAUGAGCCUAGGUCGGAUUAGCUAGUUGGUGGGGUAAAGGCCUACCAAGGCGACGAUCCGUAACUGGUCUGAGAGGAUGAUCAGUCACACUGGAACGGAGACACGGUCCAGACUCCUACGGGAGGCAGCAGUGGGGUAUAUUGGGCAAUGGGCGAAAGCCUGAUCCAGCCAUGCCGCGUGUGUGAAGAAGGUCUUCGGAUUGUAAAGCCCUUUAAGUUGGGAGGAAGGGCAGUAAGUUAAUACCUUGCUGUUUUGACGUUACCAACAGAAUAAGCACCGGCUAACUUCGUG
rnacentral:rRNA from 1 species